CAUGGGGUAAUUUUUAUUUUUGGGUGAACUAACCCUUUAAGGCUAUGAAAAUAAGUUAUUGAUCAUUUUAUAAAGAUUAACUUAAAGUGACAACCAUCAGUUAAUAUUUAAAGUCUGUUUAUGAAGUAUUUACAUGGACGUUCAAUGUGGAUGAGCUUAAAGGGAGCACACUGAGCUUAAUUGGAGCAGCAACAAUUUUAAUUAAUAAAUAUUACAUGAAAUUUAAAGGACAAGAUUUUGCAAAAUAAAUAAUCCAGAUCAUGUAUUAACUUUAUACAUAAUUUAAUAUGAACAAAUAUUAUGGACGAUAUCUAUGAAAUUAUACUGUUUCUUAGUGACGUCUCACUGAAGCUGUGUGAUUUUCAUAGUAGUGCACCCUUUAAGUUCAGCUUACAAUAAUAUUAUUUCUUUAAAAAUUGCAGCAGUGUAAAACCACAGACCAUCAAUAAACUGUAAAUUUAUAAUAUUAUGGAUUUAACAGUACAAGCCAGUAAUGUCUGUAUAGUAAUAUAUUAGUGUAGCAAACAAUCUUAUACAGCUAGUAAGCUAACAAUGAUCUGUAGUAUCUGCGCUAUGUUGCUAAAACUAUCUUUUGGAUCUAACUGUAAUUAUUUCCCAUAUCCAGGUUCCAGGUUAUAAUAUGCAAAAGUCUAAACAUUAAUCUCUUAAUUUUGCAGCAAGUAGUUAUACUUACCCAAAAUAAAGGCUUAACCACCUUAAAAAUGCACAUUUAAGGGGCUACUUUUCUGGUGAAAGUUUUCAGACAGCUUUCAAAAUGGCCGCCAGACAGUGUGAACACAUGGAUACCCAUAUCUCAGUGUGCAAUGGUCUGAUUUUCUUGAAAUUACAGGAGGUAUGUAGUAACAAACACAUCAAUUGGUUAUGACAUCAAGUUGGAUAAUACACUAUUUUUUCUUUUUAUAAUCUGAGCUCAAAUAUGGUAGUGUGCCUAAUGGGUACUUAAGCUUAAUAGGUAUGUUUACCAACGUCACACGUUUGAUAUGUUAUAGGAAACAUGCUGAAAGUCUCUGCAGAAACAAGGUUGUGUUUCAAAGUGCCGGACAAGCAGAAAAUGUAUACCUACCAACAGAACGUCAUUGCCAUAGAAAUCAAUGCAGAUAUUCCGGAAAACGAAAGAGCGCGACGAGACACACAAAUCGGAUCUGAACAGUUGCGAUACACAAUGUGGACAGUCAAUAAUUUUAGAUCAGAUGCCAAGUGGAUACACAAAUAAUCGGAUUUGGACUGACAGUGUGAACGUAGCCUAAAGGAUUUGGUCUCUCUAAACCCCUCCUUUUCGAGAGCCUACUCUGCUCUGAUUGGUCAGAUGGCCCAGUCUGUUGUGUUUGGUCAACCGCUUACAGCGCGUGUCGGAAACAAAACGUCCAUUACCAUAUCUGAAUUUCAGCUCUGGAUCUUCCUCAGCGCUUGAUACACAGUGAUACAAACAGUAACGAUGGCGUCGGAUUUACCAUAUCAAUUCAAGCCAAAGUGAAAUUGCUCUUGCAGCACAGAAAACAGCGUCUUCUCGACAUGUCGACAACAUGAAACAAACUCUUCCAGGCCUCAGCUUCAACUACAGUGUUUGAGGUCUUAUCUCUCCACUCCACCCACACUGGAAUUCUUCUGACUAUCAACAUACUUCCUUGAAGUUAAAAUUUUACAGCUGUCCUCCAUUAACCCUCUGGAGUCUGAGGCUGAUUUCGGGGCCUGAAGUACUUUUGACAUGCCCUGACAUUUGUGCUUUUUCAGUUGUUUAUAAACAUAUUACAAAAGUCUCAUUACACUGUAUUCAGCACAAACUAGGCUACAAUAAUAUGUGAGCAACAAGUAUGUACAUGUUUGUAUUUUUGAGAGUAUUACGUAUAUGGUUACGUGGUUUUUGAAAAAAAAAAUAAAAAAAUCAGUAACUGAAAUAA